CGCAAUGGACGAAAGUCUGACGCAGCGACGCCGCGUGGAGGAUGAAGGUUUUCGGAUCGUAAACUCCUGUCAAGAGGGAAGAAACCUAUCAAGAUUAAUACUCUUGGUAAUUGACGGUACCUCUAGAGGAAGCACCGGCUAAUUCAGUGCCAGCAGCCGCGGUAAUACUGAAGGUGCAAGCGUUAAUCGGAAUCACUGGGCGUAAAGCGCUCGUAGGUGGCUUUGUAAGUCAGGUGUGAAAGCCCACGGCUCAACCGUGGAAUUGCACUUGAUACUGCAUCGCUAGAGUAUAGGAGAGGGAAGUGGAAUUUCUGGUGUAGGAGUGAAAUCCGUAGAGAUCAGAAGGAACACCCGUGGCGAAGGCGACUUCCUGGACUAUUACUGACACUGAGGAGCGAAAGCGUGGGGAGCAAACAGGAUUAGAUACCCUGGUAGUCCACGCCGUAAACGAUGGGUACUAGGUGUUGGGGGCUUGACCCUCGGUGCCGUAGUUAACGCGUUAAGUACCCCGCCUGGGGAGUACG
rnacentral:rRNA from 1 species